GUUUGCGGUAUAUAUAGGAGGGGACCGUAGGACCAGACAAGGCAAGGGGUGGGCAGUUAAGAUGAGACGCUGGUGCUCUUCGUGAAGUGGCAUAAUAUUGAAGAGCUCCCAGUGAGCUCUCCAAGAAGGGACUCAUCAGGAGUGUCCUUGGCAUCCCGUUUGUGGAACAGAGGGACUUAAAUGGGAUCAGGGAGAAGGAGAUUUUCAAUGAAGAACCAGUGAAAGCCUCAUGCAUCCUCCUGUGAGUGUUUGGAGCUGCCAUGGUCUUUCGGAUGUGUUCUGGAUUGGAAGAGAGCCUGGCCUUUUCACCCGUCAGGAGCCGUCUUAGAUACUGACAUCUCCUGAAAGGGGACGGAGCUUUGAAGAGGCUGUUUUCUUCCACGGAGGUCAUCCCUGAGAUAACUGACAGCUGAGGACUGUUUUAUAAUUGCAUAAGACACAGCAGGGGCCAUGAGGUCUUAAUUUCUGAAGGAGGAGCUGGGCAGUACAAGAGAGAGAAGUGUGUGUGUGUGUGUGUGUGUGUGUAGAAAUUAACGGAAGGUACACACCAGAAUCUUAAUAUUGGUCACCUCAGAGACUGGAAUUGGGGUGUAUGCAAAUAUUAAUUUUACCUUUAUAUAGCUUUUCACUAUCACAUCUUUAACAAAUGUAACAUUUGCCAAUAUUCUUUAAAUUUCGUAAAGAUUCUCACAAUGGAAUUUUAAUUCCAUGAUUCUCCUGCAUUCCAUGUUCACUAUACUUCUUGGAACUCUGUAUUUUUUUUGUAUUUCUUGAGACUCAAUGGUCAUCAUCAUACCAAUCACAGCUUAAAGAAAAAAAAUUAAUUCUUUAACAACUUUAUCAAAUUUGAAAAAGAUUUUCUGUAUUCUGUACAUCAGAUUUUCUUCUCAUUUUUAAAGCUGUGAGUGGGAGAAAAAUCCUAUUCUUACUUCUUGGUUGCCAACCACGGAUAAGUCUCUUUGAGCAGAAAACCAAUUAGAAGUUAUUCUUAUGCUAUGGUUGGAUGUAAGAAUGCUUUCAAAUUAAAAAAAAAAAAAAGAAAGUCACAAAGCUUACUGCACCAUUAGUGAAUAAUAGAUUUCCUUUGGUUUGAGGUAGAAUUUGAAUUAAAUUAAUAGCUUUGUGGCAUUUCAGUUUUUUAAAAAAUCAGUAAUUCUGAAUUACGGAUUGUACGAGUUUAUGGAGAAAACUAAACGUAGCCCAAGAUGAAUAACCGAAAGAGCUGCAGGAGGGCAGAAUGAUUUCCUCCAUCACAGGCUUGGUUAAAGUGGGCAUUUUAGGCAUAAUAGGAGCAGCCUCUGCGCCGUGUAUAUGACUGAGGAGUUAGGAUCCAGGAAUGAUGAGAGAACAGGGCAGCAGCCUAGAAAUCACUGCCAGUGUUGAGGUUGCAGCCUUCAGUCCAAAGACAGUCUGCUGAUUCCUUCCAUGAACGUCCUUCCUGCUGUGACAUCAGACCAAACAAGCAGGUGCCGUGGCCCGCGGUGAUGACUCUGAAAGAAGCCCUCCCAUUCUGGAGUGACAAAACCAGUGCAGAGCCUUUGUGUAGUUCCAGCCCAGAGGAUUGACCAGCUGUCCACCUUGCUGACCCUCCACAUGCCUUCCCUUCCAUGUUUCAAGGAUACAGAUGGGAGAGAAGCCUCCAUGUUGGAAGACUGCACCAUCCAGUGGGAAAGUCGGCUAAGCAAAGAAACAUGAUGCAGCGUGGAAGUGACUGUCACCUUGGUGGCAUUGCCCUGGGUAAUACAGGGAUAGAAAAGAGAGGGAUUUCCCCACCAAUACAAGCAGUAAAUUCAAGAAAAAAAAAAGUGGAUUUAAUUGCCAAUCCGAGUGACUUCAGCCUUUGGUUCUUACAACUGUACUGUCAGCUUCCAGAAUAUAAAUUUUUAAAUAUACCCUAUAUCACCUUCCAGAGAUGUCUGUGCUGCUCCGUGAUAGGUGAUGUGACAACAGUAUCAAACUGAGUAAAAUGAGCAUUAACUAUCUUAUUGAAACUCCCUAGCACAGCACUCAGCAGCAUUGGCAUAUAGCUAUUAUGAGCAUUUUGCAAAAUCUUCUUGAUGGAAGAGGAUCAAAUGAUUUUUAAUAAGAAUAUAUAUAUAUGAAAUAUAUAUAUAUGAAAUAUAUAAAUAUGCAUAUGUAAAGAAAGCAUGAGAGAGAGAUAAGAUGGAAGAGAAUCAUUUAUCAGAUAUUAAUACUGCAGUAGACCUUCCAAAAAAUCCAACUUGAUGGUAAGUCAUAUUUUGAGAAAUUUUAUUUUAACUGCAUGAUUUAAAAAGAUGCCAACACUUGAGUACACUAGUUUUUAAUCAGUACAUACACCUUUGUUUUAUUAUCACUUCUGGCUAUUCAAGUGAAAAUUUAAUUAAAUGUUUUUACUUGAAUAAAUAAUCUGAUAAAAAUGAGAUUAGUGAUGUCUAGUGACUGGAGGGAACUGUCUGUGGUGAUUGAUAGCUCUGAGAAUGUGAUGCCGAAUCUUAUUUUCCACUCUUUCCUGACCCUUGAGUGGCAUUUGAUUACAGUUUCAACAGACUGAAUCCCAACACUGAAUCAGGAUUCCCCAGAUUUCAGGUUGAUUAUUUGAAUUAUUAAUACAUUUUAAUUUGUGAAACAUUGUCAUCAGUGCUUCAUGUAAAAUCUCUUCCUUAUUUCAUUUUGUUUUAUCCUAGUCCCUAUUUCCCAUUCCUUCUUUGGUAACCAUCCAAUGAGGUCAAUUUUGUUCUUUGUAUUUGUGCAUACCCUUGAAGAAUGGCAUGGUUGUACUACACUUAUUCUUUUUGUUCUUUCCUCUUUUGUUGUUAAGUACAUGUUAUUAGAAAUGUGA